CAGAGCUAGAAGAGAGGAGCUGAGAAGAACUGACAAGAGCAGGUUGAGUGGCCCAUAUAUGCCCAGGGGAGGGGAUUUAGAAGAAAAGAAUGAGAUGGCGGCCCUCCAGCGUUCAGUCUGGUGGGAAAGACAGACAAGCCAAGAAAUCCUUAUAGCAAGGAGAGAGAGACAGAGCAUGAGCAGGGGAGGAGCAGAGAGAGAGGGAGACACAGAAUUCGAAGCAGACUCCAGGCCCUGAGCUGUCAGCACAGAGCCCCAUGCGGGGCUUGAACCCACGAACCGUGAGAUCAUGACCUGAGCCGAAGUCGGACGCUCAGCCGACAGAGCCGCCCAGGCGCCCCAGCCAUUUGUCAUUUUUAAGAUGAACGACUUGAGUGACAGGAGAUUCUUUCGGAAACUCACAGGGGGGCCAAAGUGAGACCUCAGCAUCAGACUCCAGGGUCUAUCAAGCCAUGGAGGAAAGCUCUUGUGUAUACGGCCAGCCCAACACCAUUUGGAACCUCCUUCCUUCAUGAAAACUGACAGCCCUUAAACAACCGAAUGCAGCCUCUCUUAUAAGAAGCUGGUCCCUUGGUCUUCCACGUGUUGGCAUCUCAUCAAUAAGAGGUGGUAACAAACUCAUCUCCAGCUGGGGUCUCUCAGACAACAACUCUAAUGGAUAUUUUUAAUUCAUAUGGAAAUAAAUAAUUCUGGCCACUUCAGGAAAAGCAGUUUGUGAUAAAGUUUGCCUCCUCUCUCUCUCUCGCCUUUUCUGUCCAGUUAACUUCCGUGACCUACUUCUCCUUUACCAAGUAGUUAUCCUCUUCUGCAUUUGAACCCAUGGGUUGUCUACAAGCUUGUUUACUGUCGUCAUUGCUGGUUGCUUUUGCUUUGUUGUCAUUUUAAUGAGUUCACAUGGUAGAAGUGGUGGGGAAAGUGAGGUCAUGUGCUUGAGGGAAGGUGGAUCAAGGUGGCCAUGCACAAGUGGGGCUCAUUUGUAAAACUUUUUUAAAGGACCAUUUCUAACUCUCAAAUAUUUAGUUUUCAAAUCUACCCCCCCCCAAUAUUUUGUUUACUUCAGAUUAAAAGUAGGAUAUAUCUGGGUCAAAGUCUGCACUACAUUAUCUUAAUUAUUGUUGCAAGGUGUUAGACUGACUUUGGAACAGAAGGAAAACCUAGAGGAAAAAACACUUUGCAAGAUAUGACUUUUAUCACCUCCCACUACAAAUAAAAUGAAAGGGAGUUUCCAUUUGUAUGGAACCCAGAAAACAAUGUUUUUGCUGCCUCGGGGAUCUUCUAAAGACUUUUGUAAGAUAUAAAGAUAACAUUUGUUCAUCAUAUACAAUUUGUUACUGGAGAAAAAUGUACAAAAGAAAAUGGAAUCUCUUAUAAUUAUAUCACAUUUAGGGAAUCACCGUUCAUAUUUUAGAGCCUGCCCUAAUAAACUUUUUAAAAUACAUAAAUAAUAUCAUCUAAGGCAUAAUUGUACAUUUUUCAAUUUAACACUGCAAAAGGAGUAACUUCCCAUGUCAUUAAUAUUUCUUAUAAUCAUGACCAUUGUUUACUAUUUCCAUCUAAAGGAUGUAAUCAUAAUCCAUUUAACCUUUCAUCUGUACAUUUAAGUAAAACAGUAAGGAGUCUUAGUUUAUAAUUCUUUGUUUGGAUUUCUAAUCAUUCUACAUUUAUGGAAUGGAUUACUGCUUGAAUGGGUACAAACAUGUUCAAGUCUCUUGGUGAUCAAUCAUUCUCUUAAUUACUAUAGUAUUUGCCAAGAAAUGACUGUGACCAGGAACUAUAUAAAAUACUGGGGAUAUAGCAGUAAUUUUCCAGCAUUUCUGGCAUGCCCUGGACAUAGGCUAAGCCAAUUCUGGUGAGCAGAGAAAGCCAUUAGACAGACACCUAAGUGCUUUUAGUUAGAAGCCAUUGGAUUGACAUAUACAGGAAUGGAGAGUCCCAAGAAUAUAUGGGGCACCAAAAGGGUCUUCUACUCUGUCCCACUUAAUUUUUUGUCUCCAUGGAAUCUGAAUUUUCAACAUAAAGACAAAACUGACAACAACAACUCUGAUUGAUACUGAAUAGGAGUCAAGAAACAAGAAACUGUUUUAGUCAUAGCCUUGUGCCUCCCAUACAGAGAGACCUGAAUUGGGAGUCUUAAUGAAUGUUAACCUCUCUGGGUCCCAACAUCCUGGUAUAGAAUGGUCGGAGGUAAGUAGAAUGAAUAGGGCUUAUUUACAACUCUUAUUUUUCACCAUUUGAAUUUAGGUGUAGGGGAAUUACUCUUUGUCCUCAUUAGCUAUAUCAAAGCAUUUCAAGGGGCUAUUAAUCUACUAUCUAACCAGUUCAACUUAUUCCAUAUAUCUCUUUUGAGUAUCUACUCUUUACUAGCCACUGUUCAGAGCGUUUUAUAUAUAUCUAUAAUCAUAGCAAUCAUCUGAGAAAGUUAACAUAAAUCCCAGUUCAUAGGUGAAGCUUCUGGUUCUGAGAGGUGAUAUGAUUUACUCAGAUACUUCUGACUUCCAAACACUGUUUUGUUUUUUUUG